AGUUCGGUCUCACGCAAUGGGAAUCUGUGAACCGUGUCAGGUUGGGAACAAAGCAGCACUAAGCAGAACCUUCCAUGUGCCGUGAGGAAGCCGGGCGGAG
rnacentral:SRP_RNA from 1 species